rnacentral:rRNA from 1 species
UACAGAGGGUGCGAGCGUUAAUCGGAAUUACUGGGCGUAAAGCGUGCGUAGGCGGUUAUUUAAGUCGGAUGUGAAAGCCCCGGGCUCAACCUGGGAAUUGUAUUCGAGACUGAAUAGCUAGGGUACGGUAGAGGGAAGCGGAAUUUCCGGUGUAGCGGUGAAAUGCGUAGAUAUCGGAAGGAACAUCAGUGGCGAAAGCGGCUUCCUGGACCAGUACCGACGUUCAGGCACGAAAGCGUGGGGAGCAAACAGG